GCAAGUGCUGGAGGUUGUCUCAGCUUGGGCCAUCCUCCACAAUAUCUGCUCCUGUGCUGACGACACCGAGGCCCCAGAGGAAGAUGUGGAGGUGAUGAGGAGGAGGAAGCUGGUUUGAAGGUCACCAGCGGUGCUCUCUGGCAGGACCAACUACCUACUGAGGUUUCUGCCCUGCGGGAGGUACCACCUGACCUUGAUUACUUUUAACAGCAUCCGUCCACAGCCAACCCUGUAAACCCUGAAGAUGGACGAUGCAGUCUACAGUGAAGAUGAUCCUGAAACUCUGCAGACCAUCCUGCAAGAUGUUCCAGUCACCACCCAGAAAGUUCCAUCCCCGCGUCUCAGUUGAAGCAUCUCAUCCAUGUCGACCAUCUUUGUAAAUAGUGUUACAAUGAAUUACUGUGU